GUUGAGUGAUGCAGAGAAUAAAGAGACAACACAAUAAAAGGAAGUGCUGCCUGCCUAUGUCCCUCCCUGCUGGCUCCCUUAGAAAGCAUCGGCAUCCAUCUGAAGUCUGUGUCCAGGAGUCCCAGACAGGGACCAGCCACAAACAGUCUUUUGCGUGCUCUUCCUUGACUGUGUUCGUGCUGGUGGGGAUGCUGCACAUCGGUUCUCAGAUGCGAGUUGAGAUCAAGGUGAACAGUCAGGAAGAUGACCUCCGCUGAGCAGCAAAGUGAGAAGUGAGGAGAGGGGCUCAGUUCAGAGGCUGGGAACAACCAGGUGACAUCCCAGGCCUACUUGUAUGUGGUAUGGUAGUACCUGACCCUCAAAGAUGGUAAAACAUGGACCUUUCUUGUUUGGAUUUAUAAAUUAAAUAAUUUAAGAUGAUGAUGCCUUGGAAUUAUGUGGGAUAACGUUGGUGAUUUUCCCUCUGUGAGAGCUGUUGUCCUAUCAGUUAUCCCAAACUUUGCCUGGGCAUGAGUCCUGUUGAUGCAAAAUAACCGAUAACCAUCCUGUAGAUAAGAGAGAGAAGGAGAGUUUUACUUGAGCCGGGGGAGGACUGUAAUCCAGGAAGGCAGUUUCUACAAAGGAAGAAAGAGUUUCAGAGAAACAUGGUUUUCAGUACAGUUUUACACCUUUUCAGGACAAAGAACAAACAUUAAACAUGCCCGGGAUAUAUAUUCAUCAAAAUUUCAAAGAGGUAUUCAGUUGCAUAUUAGCAGGUCAACAUACCCUGAUGUUGAGAAAGGCACCUAUCUUCAAGAGUACCAAUAGGGCGGGCAUUACCGAUACUGGCGGGCGUAGGAGGGGAAGUAUACAUUCUUAUCUACAAAGAGUGUAUUCUUUUUCUUUGAGAUGAUGUUUAAUGCGUUAUUUACUUUACUGGUUAAAGCAGAUGAACAGUGUGUGUUUGAUAGGCCAUAAGUCAGGCUUUUUUAGUUCAAGCCGAAGCAGUUUUGAACCAGAAUAGCUACCCGCUAUACCCCAAUAUGUGAAAAUCUCGUCAGCCUUAUAGAUGAGUGAGAGCUGGCAAUAUUCUUCUGUUCAGGCAUGUAGAUGGGUAGACGGACGCUGACAGAGACACAGAGCUCAUGCCCUUGCUCCUCUCCUUCCUUCCCUACUUUUAGAUCUUGUGUCUUUGCAGUCUCCAUGCUUCUACAUUUGGAAACUCAGUAGUAAAAUUCCUCUUCUUUGGUCUUGUAUCUGAGGAGUGCCUAUCAGAGUAACCACAGGGCCUUAAUGGUUUAUACAUGAAUAAAAAUCACAGAGUGGAUUAAAC
rnacentral:lncRNA from 1 species